GUUUUAUUCUGUAACGAAACUGCUGCUAUUCAUCUGCUGUUAUCGCUUCAGUGAACCUCGCGCUGCUCGCGCGUCGCGCGCAACACAGAUCAGCGGAUCGUCGUCGGAUUUGAAAGUAACGGCUCCUCUCAUCAAAGCUUCAGCUGUUUGUUCGGCUCUCCGUUACAAGAAGAACCACUGCAUUUCUAAAAUCAUCUGAACAUUUCAGAGGCUACAUUGAAUUACAGGAGGAAGUUACCGGCACCACACUACAAUGUAACUGAAUGAUGACUGUGGUUGCAUUACGCCUGAGAUCUGCUUUUGGGUUCCACCGACAGAAAGUCUAACAGGCACCUCGGUAAGCUGAAAUACAAGUUUGAACAAGAAAAAUAAUCCUCCUGUAGACCUGAAAAUCAUAGAAGUGCCUGGACCAUCCACCAGUAAAGAGGAAAAACAAACGGAAAAUUGUACUGUUCUAACUCGUUAACCUCACAUGUCCCUUGUUAAGAUUUUAUUAAUGAUUGCAUUUUAUGUUUCAGCAAGUAAAGGUGCGGUCAAAUUUGUGAAAUUACACAGGCAAAAAAAGUCCAUUGACACAACUUAACUUAAUUGUUUUUUUGUUUUUUAUUAAUGUGAUGUGUUUCCAUGCAUUUUGUUGAGAUGUAUACCCUUUUCUUGUAUACCCUAUUGUAUAUACUGUACAUUGUUGAUUAUUCAUGUUGCUUACAGUAUGUAUUAUACUAUUUGUUUGUGUAUUCUAUUCAGUGAUAUUAAUCUAUUACUAGCUUCUUUUCCCGAGUGCAUGGAAGUGUAUGUAUUAAAAUGGAUCUAAAAUUUAAUAAACAAUUCUUACCUUGUA